GCGAACGGGAUUAGAUACCCUGGUAGUCCACGCUGUAAACGAUGUCGAUUUGGAGGUUGUGCCCUUGAGGCGUGGCUUCCGGAGCUAACGCGUUAAAUCGACCGCCUGGGGAGUACGGCCGCAAGGUUAAAACUCAAAUGAAUUGACGGGGGCCCGCACAAGCGGUGGAGCAUGUGGUUUAAUUCGAUGCAACGCGAAGAACCUUACCUACUCUUGACAUCCAGAGAACUUAGCGGAGAUGCUUUGGUGCCUUCGGGAACUCUGAGACAGGUGCUGCAUGGCUGUCGUCAGCUCGUGUUGUGAAAUGUUGGGUUAAGUCCCGCAACGAGCGCAACCCUUAUCCUUUGUUGCCAGCGGUUCGGCCGGGAACUCAAAGGAGACUGCCAGUGAUAAACUGGAGGAAGGUGGGGAUGACGUCAAGUCAUCAUGGCCCUUACGAGUAGGGCUACACACGUGCUACAAUGGCAUAUACAAAGAGAAGCGACCUCGCGAGAGCAAGCGGACCUCAUAAAGUAUGUCGUAGUCCGGAUUGGAGUCUGCAACUCGACUCCAUGAAGUCGGAAUCGCUAGUAAUCGUAGAUCAGAAUGCUACGGUGAAUACGUUCCCGGGCCUUGUACACACCGCCCGUCACACCAUGGGAGUGGGUUGCAAAAGAAGUAGGUAGCUUAACCUUCGGGAGGGCGCUUACCACUUUGUGAUUCAUGACUGGGGUGAAGUCGUAACAAGGUA
rnacentral:rRNA from 1 species